AACCUAGAAAGUAUGACACAAUAAGAAUAAGUAUGUUCUGCAGAAAUUUAGAGAAAGCUGGCCAUAGUAAAGCCAUGUUACGAGCCUUAAAGACAUUGAAGUCGUUCAGGUCUCGGAAAAUGGCUAUAAGA
rnacentral:snoRNA from 1 species